rnacentral:lncRNA from 1 species
CCUUCACUUUGUUUUCUUUUUUGGUGCAACACCUUCACUUUGCAUUCUUACAAAAGAAAACACCUUCACUUUGUUCCCAUGUUAAUAAAAAAAAUUAUAAAUUUUAAACUACCACUAACGUUAGAAUAGUAUUUGUAUACAGUGCCAAAAUAUUAAAACACUACGCGUGGGCCGAAAGCAACGGAGCCUGAUGUGUCUGUACACGCAGACGUCUAGAUUCCUUUUUCAGUAAAACACACAGAAAGUAUUGUUUCCAACUUCCCGUAUAUUAAUUCGUCUUACCUUACUUCAAAAUC